GCGAAAUGUACGUUCACCUGUAAGGUCAGCUUCAAGCCGCCUUCACAUCCUCCUCUUCUUCAUCCGCAUCUGAGAGCAAGAGUUGGGAGUUCUGCACUCCGCGUGCUGCGAGCUCGACGUUUUUGAACGCAAGCUACAGUCUCGGAGGCAUGCUGGAGCCAAUUACAGCUAUCUCUUGGUAAGAGGCGGAGUAUACCAAAAACUGGUCGCCAGCCACACACAGUAGCCCUAACGCUGAAUACUUCAUACAAGUAAGAUGCUGCUGGGCACCACGGUGAGGAAUCUGGAAAGCGUUGGCCUCACAGUUCUGAUGUCCGGCGUUCCAUCCCGGACCCGCCUGUGUGGAGUUUGCAUGUUCUCCUCGUGCCUGUGUGGGCUUACUCCAGGCCCUGGGGUUUCGUCCCACAUCCCAAAAACAUGCAACAUUAAUUGGACACUCUAAAUUACCCUGCGGUGUGAUUGUGAGAGCGGCUGUUUUGUCUCGUUAUGUGCCCUGCGAUUGGCUGGCAACCAGUUCAAGGUGUACCUCGCCUCCUGCUCAUUGACAGCUGGGAUAGGUUCCAGCACGCCCUGUGACCAUUGUGAGGAUAAGCGGCAAAAGAAAAUGGAUGGAUGGAAGAUGCUGCUGUGCCUGGAAUUAUGUAUGAUGUAUGACUAAUGCCCUUGUUCUGGCCAAUGUCAUGCUGACUUCAAAUUGAUCCUGCGAGGCAGACAACAUUGCUGUGUGGGCAAGAGGCGGUUUGGUGGGCGGGACCUUGAUGUGUCGGAUGUAGAAGUAGAAAUGGAAACGAAUGUUUCACAAUAAAUUGAUCACAACCAGAACAGUCCAGUUGUGAUUGAUUCAGAACCCUGACAAAGUUUCAGAAUAAUAAAAGCACAACGGUGUACGUACUUCAAUUUGAACUGUGUGAUUUCUACCCACAAAUGUGAUCCCAGUUCCAAGCUAAUUCAUACAACAGCUUUAAUUUCCUGUACAUACAAAACAAACGAUUCUCAGGUGUUACAUGUACUAAAAUAUAAUUGUACAGUAUAUGUCAAUUAUCUUUACAACCACACCAUUUGAAGAGAGAAGAACUGUCGUGAGCAGGGCUGGAGCACUACCAGUCGAUGCGUGGCCUGGUCACCGCUCUGGGUGGUGCCACCUCUGGCACUUGUGACAACUGUUGUGCAUUCAGCACGUUAAUUGACCAUGAAUUUAUGUUGCUGUUUUUAUCACAGGCAUUUGCCAAUUCAUUGAGUUUGCACCGGGUCACCGGGUGGGGAGACUGCUUCUGAAAUAAAACCCACUGGACAUUAUGCCUUUGCCUCAGAGUCCUGCAUUUGGGUCCUCCCCCGCAUCGAUGGCUUGUGACAAGAACUAUAAGUUUAGAGAUAACAUCUUUAAACAGCGCAAGUUACUACGAAGAGUUUGUACGUUAGCAAACCGAUUGUGCACAAUUGUUUGAUAUAGAAUAAACCACCCAGACUGGCUUGUCGGCUGCUUGAAAAUGACAGAC